UAGGGAAUCUUCCACAAUGGACGCAAGUCUGAUGGAGCAACGCCGCGUGAGUGAAGAAGAUCUUCGGAUCGUAAAACUCUGUUGUUAGAGAAGAACACGAGUGAGAGUAACUGUUCAUUCGAUGACGGUAUCUAACCAGCAAGUCACGGCUAACUACGUGCCGG
rnacentral:rRNA from 1 species